rnacentral:rRNA from 1 species
UUCCUAUUAAUUCAUUUAUAGUAGGUAUAAUCUACCCAGUGAUUAAUUUAAACGGUUAUAAAUUAUAUUAAAGUAGCGUAAUAAUUUAUCAUUUAAUUAAUGAAUAUAAUGAAGAUUUUAUGAGUUAAAUACUGUCUCUAAAAUAUAAAACAAAAUUAAUAAUUCAGUGAAAAAGCUUAAUUAUUUUUAAAAGACGAUAAGACCCUAUAGAACUUAUUUAAAGUUUUAAAUUUACUGGGGAAGUAAAAAUAAAAGUAAAAUUAUUUUUAAAUAUAUAAACUAUAAGUUUUUAUAACCACUAAAUUUUAGUGAUUAAAAAGUUACCUUAGGGAUAACAGCAUUAAAAAUAUAAAAAGUUCUUAUUUUAAUAUUUUUUAAUGACCUCGAUGUUGAAUUAAGAUAUAGUUAAAAAGCAAAAAUUUUGUUAUUUAGGUCUGUUCGACCUUUAAAAUCUU